CAUUGAGGUUACGAUGAGUUGUAAAAUGUUUGUAUCUGAACAAUUGCGACUGCUUUCGGCUUGCUAUAACUGUUCAGCGCCUGGAUGGACAAGUAGCACGUUUUGCAAACAGCACUUCUAGUGCGGGAUUUGGCACUGUGUCCCAGAAAAUCUGCACUAAUCAUGUAAUGACGAAUAGUUAUUGCUGCUCGCAAACAACGAGUGCAUGGUGCUGCCACCGCAAAGUAACGUCGAAUUUACGCGCGUUGGAUUUUCGCACUGAAAUUUGUGCCGAUGCGUGGUGUAAGUGAUGUCCCUGUACUCAGUUUAGUAGGGAAACUCUAUGCCCUUGCUGAAGGUUUUGCUCUUCCAUAGUAUGGGGCGUACCGGCCCAGAUGGUGCAACGUAUUCAGCUCUUAGUAUCCGUAACCGGAGAACAACGAGGCAGCUCGCCCUAGACGCGGGCGCACUCGGCCACUGUUUUUGCUAGCUCCAUCACCAUGUAACCGAGUAAUCCUUUGUUAAACCAUUUUCUUCUGUAUCAAGUCACUGCCUCCUGCCCGCAGUGACGCCAUUUCCUACAACCUGAUGCGGCAGCUUUUUUGUCUAUUCUGCUUGCACAAAGUGCCCUGUCAUGUAUUUCUCAGUGAAAGCUGCAUUAAUUCACGCACUAGGCAUGCUUGAGCUAGGUUUUAGCUCUAAUGAAACUUCGCUUGGGCAAAGUGGCAUCGUGACAGCACUACUACCAUUCUUCCACUCGCGCCCUUCUAUCCAUUGUGAAAGUGUGACACCUGAUUUAGUUCGAACACAUUUUGAUGAAGGAGUUUUUAAUACAUUGAUGAAUUAAGAAUACCUUGCUCCACCAAGCUUGAGCAGGCUAAGAUUGGUGUGCAAGUAGAGUGAGCUUAUCUCAUAAUGCCAACAUACAUGACUGGUAAACGGUUAUGCAGACAGGCUGGAACUAAAGAACAUGGUAGUGUCACUUCUAGGUGCUUGACGCAUUAAGAGAUAGCAUGACAUACUUACAGGUAGAACAUUAGCAUGACGUAUUAUGAGCAUGACAUGUUAACACAUAACAGCUGCAAGGACCCACUAAUCUUAUUGGGCUGAUGUUAGUUUAUUACUUUGAAUGCGACAGCAUUAUAGGUGAACUUCAACCACUUUGAAAGAUCUAGCAGAAAAUGUGGCCUGAUCGCAAAGACAGUGCAGUUUAGCGCAGAAUCUCAAAAUACUAGCUGUCAAGAGGGAAGAAUGAAAGAACUGGCACGUUUUGCACGUGCCAGAUGUUUCCAAGAGUAUAGGCAUAGCUACCGGGGGGCACUUGCCUCCCUACUGUCAAAAAGUGGGGGGUUUGAAGUAUGCCAUUUCCCCCCCCCCCCCCCCACACACACACACUUUUGAAAGUGGGCACUUUCGGCUGCAUGCUGGAAAGUUCAACAAAACUACAGCUGAAGCUAAAUUUUAUUUUGCAAUAGAGUGGCCAUGUAGAUAAUACUUUUAUUUGCUAUAUGUAUACCCUGCUUAGGCAGCGAGGAUUGUCUUUUGUGCUUCCUUGUGAUGCGCUGUAGCGGGCGAAACACGGGAUUCGCCAUACGCGCUCACAUUGUGAAGGCCUGGAGCUGGACUGUUCUAGCCGUAACAAAUUUCCGCUUGUGCUACUCGCAUCAUGCCCAGUUUUUUGGGACCACUUAACCGUAUUUGAAAACACAAUCCGCUUGCCAUAUAUAAUCCACGGGCGAGGGGAGAAGUCCUGAUAAAGAUUUAUAAUCAGCCGCUCGACCAUACAGGACCAAUGUGCCCUGGUGGACCGAGACCGGGCUGCCGCAAAAGCCACAGGGGUCCUGGAAUAGGAAGCCCUCCUAGAAUUUGUACGGGGCGGGUCCUUCUGGCUGGUCCCAAACGUUCUCUUUGUACAUAGCCACAAUAAAUGUUUUUUACUCACUCACCCCCAACGAUUGGUGUACCUUGCGGCAUGAAAUCCUUGGUGUGCCUUAUGGCAGGAAAUUUUCGAAGCACAACUUCUAAUUUUGUCGAUUUUAUUUUCAGGUCCUUUGUAAAUAAGAGCUACACUAUUACUUGUUUCCUGGCAGGAGCAAGAGCAGCAUAUAUUUGAUGUUUUGAAGAAAUGGCCACUUUUUGGUGACGUGUACCGAAAACUUGAACCGUGGAGGUUGCUUAUGUGCUCGAAAAACAAGAAAAAGCACUUCAAGCCGUACGGGUUCACUUUUUGGUGGAAGCAUUAAAGUACCUAGAGCAGCUACUUGUGGCCUGAAGCAUCCAAACAACAGGGCGAUAUGAAUUUCAAUGUGGCAAAGUAUGCUGUCAAAUCCUUAGUUUUUAUUGGUUACCUUAGCCUGCAGCAAAAUGAUAAUAAAAAGCCAUAAAUUCCUA